UACGAAGGGGGCUAGCGUUGUUCGGAAUUACUGGGCGUAAAGCGCACGCAGGCGGCUCGAUAAAUUAGAAGUGAAAGCCCCGGGCUUAACCUGGGAAUUGCUUUUAAGACUGUCGGGCUAGAAUCCAGAAGAGGGUAGUGGAAUUCCGAGUGUAGAGGUGAAAUUCGUAGAUAUUCGGAAGAACACCAGUGGCGAAGGCGACUACCUGGUCUGGCAUUGACGCUCAUGUGCGAAAGCGUGGGGAGCAAACAGG
rnacentral:rRNA from 1 species